AACUUUAAAGGCAUUACGAAUUUUAGCAUAGAGUUGAUUCGAAAUAAAGAUAACGCAUACGCCGGUCCCGAAAAACCUUUUGGCGUUGGAAAAGCAUUGUCACUGCCAAAGUUUUCAUCGACCCAACUCAGAAACCGAACAAUUGCCCAAUACUAAAGUUUGCUUCCUGUUGCGUCCGUUUGAAGUUGCCUGCUGUUUGCUCUGUUCAAUUUAAGGCCAGCUUAAAUGUAAAUAAAUCAACCGUUCAAGCUAUACAGCCAUGCCUCAGCCUUUGGCCAUUUUAUUAAUUACUCUCACAAUUUUAUUAACAUUUCUGCAGCACAUUAUUAAUGGACAAAAGUAAAAGCUAGAGGAUUAAAGCAGAGCAUUUUUUGAAAAUAAAUAAAAAGCCGGAAACAAUUUGACGGAGGAGAGACAUACGGAAGCACAUACAUAAAAGUUAAAAU